rnacentral:lncRNA from 1 species
AGCAGCUCAUCCUUCCAUCUUCUCAUGCUCUCUCUGUUAUUUCUUUGCCACAGGAUCUGGGAAUCUCAUCGCUGCUCUCUUUGUUUGGGCCCAGAGGUUCCUCUUCUGCUGCACUUCAAAUUGCCUGGUAUAAAGCUUAGGUCUUUCCUACAGUGGACUGAAUCAUUGGAAAUCCUUUUUCUCAGCUGCAAAUUCUUGGAUGUAAUAAUAGUUUUUAUUUCGGUUACAAAUCUAUUGGAUUCAUAAGACUUGAACUCUUCAUCAGCAGUUAACCAUGUUGGAUCACUGUGGGGUACCUUCCUGUGAAGAGUCUGUUUAGGAUUAGAUUUAGGUCUAUUUUCGGAAAUGUAAGUAACCCUUUGUGCCUUAUUUAUAUUUUCAAUUCCAUAUCUGUUAAAUGCAAGGGACGCAAUUAGCUUGAUUGUUGUUGUUGCUGUUGUACUAUGAAAGCCAUUUAAUUCCCCUCUGUCCUUUCCAGCCCUGGUCUCCUAUGCCCUUCCAAAAAAACCCCAUGAAAUCCCAAACGAACUCCAAAUUCCCAAGAAGGUAAAAGGACCUUGGGUUUUGGGAUGAUUUUUAGAAGAACUUAUUCUCAGUAUCUUUUCUGAAGUUAUGUGCAAUCACCUGUACUGUAUCCCCUCCAAUUUGCCUACUGCUGCACAGUUCCACUGAUGUGGAAACAUCUCAUGGAAAAGAAAUUCAAGAUUGUUGUCUUUUUACUGCACUGAAGAAUAUCUAGAGUUUUACAAAGCCUUCAGUAAAUUAUUUGCAGUCCAUUUAAGGAAGCUGGCUGAGCUAUCAAUAGAUAAGUCAGGUUUUUCCCUUGUCUGAGGUAUCCUUAAAAGCCUGAAUUUUCUACUUGAAUUUAAUACUGGCAGUUGUUCCAGAGUGAGCACUGAAAUAAACCACUGCAUAUUUUUAACCA